AGUUUUUCAUUUGGCGUGCCUAGCUUAGCUUUUUUUAAAUAUUGCUAGCUGCCUUGUGAAGGGCUUA
rnacentral:pre_miRNA from 1 species